CCUACGGGAGGCAGCAGUGAGGAAUAUUGGUCAAUGGGCGAGAGCCUGAACCAGCCAAGUCGCGUGAAGGAUGACGGCCCUACGGGUUGUAAACUUCUUUUGUCAGGGAGCAAUUGGGUCCACGCGUGGGCUUAGCGAGAGUACCUGAAGAAAAAGCAUCGGCUAACUCCGUGCCAGCAGCCGCGGUAAUACGGGGGAUGCGAGCGUUAUCCGGAUUUAUUGGGUUUAAAGGGUGCGUAGGCGGAAUAUCAAGUCAGCGGUAAAAAUUCGGGGCUCAACCCCGUCGUGCCGUUGAAACUGAUGGUCUUGAGUGGGCGAGAAGUAUGCGGAAUGCGUGGUGUAGCGGUGAAAUGCAUAGAUAUCACGCAGAACUCCGAUUGCGAAGGCAGCAUACCGGCGCCCAACUGACGCUGAAGCACGAAAGCGUGGGUAUCGAACAGGAUUAGAUACCCCAGUAGUC
rnacentral:rRNA from 1 species